GAGUUUGAUCCUGGCUCAGGACGAACGCUGGCGGCGUGCCUAACACNUGCAAGUCGAACGAUUUAGCAUUUGAGCUUGCUUGAAUGCUGGAUAGUGGCGGACGGGUGUGUAACGCGUGAGCAACCUGCCUUUUUGAGGGGGAUAACACCGGGAAACCGGAGCUAAUACCGCAUAAAAUAUUGAAAUCGCAUGGUAUCGAUAUCAAAGGAGCAAUCCGCAGAAAGAUGGACUCGCGUCCGAUUAGCUAGUUGGAGGGGUAACGGCCCACCAAGGCGACGAUCGGUAGCCGGACUGAGAGGUUGAACGGCCACAUUGGGACUGAGACACGGCCCAGACUCCUACGGGAGGCAGCAGUGGGGGAUAUUGCACAAUGGGGGAAACCCUGAUGCAGCAACGCCGCGUGAGGGAAGAAGGUUUUCGGAUUGUAAACCUCUGUCCUAGGUGAAGAUAAUGACGGUAACCUGGGAGGAAGCUCNGGCUAACUACNUNCCAGCAGCCCGCGGUAANUACNUAGGGAGCGAGCNUUNUCCNGNAAUUACUUGGGUNUAAAGGGUGCGUAGGCGGCCCUUGUGGNUCAGGCGUGAAAUACAUUGGGCUUNAACCCAAUGNACUGCGCUUGGAAACUAUAAGGCCUUGAGUGAAGUAGAGGGCAGGGUGGAAUUCCCGGUGUAGCGGUGAAAUGCGUAGAGAUCGGGAGGAACACCAGUGGCGAAGGCGGCCUGCUGGGCUUUAACUGACGCUGAGGCACGAAAGCAUGGGUAGCAAACAGGAUUAGAUACCCUGGUAGUCCAUGCCGUAAACGAUGAUUACUAGGUGUGGGUGGACUGACCCCAUCCGUGCCGGGAGUUUAACACAAUAAGUAAUCCACCUGGGAAGUACGACCGCAAGGUUGAAACUCAAAGGAGUUGACGGGGGCCCGCNCAAGCAGUGGAGUAUGUGGUUUAAUUCGAAGAUACGCGAAGAACCUUACCAGGUCUUGACAUUCCGACUAACGAAGUAGAGAUACNNUUAGGGUGCCCUUCGGGGAAAGUCGAGACAGGUGGUGCAUGGUUGUCGUCAGCUCGUGUCGUGAGAUGUUGGGUUAAGUCCCGCAACGAGCGCAACCCUUACUGUUAGUUGCUACGCAAGAGCACUCUAGCAGGACUGCCGUUGACAAAACGGAGGAAGGUGGGGACGACGUCAAAUCAUCAUGCCCCUUAUGACCUGGGCUACACACGUACUACAAUGGCCGUAAACAGAGGGAAGCAAAGCCGCGAGGUGGAGCCAACCCCCAAAAGCGGUCUCAGUUCAGAUUGCAGGCUGCAACUCGCCUGCAUGAAGUCGGAAUUGCUAGUAAUCGCAGAUCAGAAUGCUGCGGUGAAUACGUUCCCGGGCCUUGUACACACCGCCCGUCACACCAUGGGAGCCGGUAAUACCCGAAGUCAGUUACUUAACCGUUAAGGAAAGCGCUANCGAAGGUAGGAUUGGCGACUGGGGUGAAGUCGUAACAAGGUA
rnacentral:rRNA from 1 species